rnacentral:rRNA from 1 species
GUGAGGAAUAUUGCGCAAUGGAGGCAACUCUGACGCAGCCAUGCCGCGUGCAGGAAGAAGGCGCUACGCGUUGUAAACUGCUUUUAACCGGGAAGAAACCCCAGGACGUGUCCUGGGUUGACGGUACCGGAGGAAUAAGCACCGGCUAACUUCGUGCCAGCAGCCGCGGUAAUACGAAGGGUGCAAGCGUUAUCCGGAUUCAUUGGGUUUAAAGGGUGCGUAGGCGGAGCGUUAAGUCAGUGGUGAAAUCCUGCAGCUUAACUGUAGACUUGCCAUUGAUACUGGCGCUCUUGAGUGCGCUUGAAGUGGGCGGAAUGUGCCGUGUAGCGGUGAAAUGCUUAGAUAUGGCACAGAACACCAAGUGCGAAGGCAGCUCACUAAGGCGAUACUGACGCUGAGGCACGAAAGCGUGGGGAUCGAACAGGAUUAGAUACCCGUGUAGUCC